AAGAUAGACCGUCGCUCGCUUACCUAUCGGGCGGCGGCGGCGGCGUCGGCGGCGGGUGUAGGGGGCGGGGCCGGGACUGGUAGAGGACAUGCGGAAUACGCGGCAGGCGCAGAGUCGGAGUGCGGGCGGGUCAAGCGGCCGCCGGGGAGAGGGAGCGACGUGCGCUCGUCCGACGGCUGGGGCCUAGGUCACAGCAGGCCCAAAGGAGUAGCUGCCACUCUAGCCGAACCAGAAGGAGCGCCACCUCCGCACCGCCGUCGUUGCGGCCGGUGCGGAACCCAGCACUCUCCGAGCUAUAGUUAGAGUGGUUUAUGACCACGAAACCUAGUUACUGAUUAGAGGGCUCCAACUAAACGUUCCGAACACACCUGACUUGGACAAGGAGAUUUGGUUCCCCAGGAAGACCGGGAAAAGGACGUUGACCGUACGCUGUAUCGUUUACUCUGUAGAAACGUCGAAGUUACCUAUGUUUCCGUAUGGUUAAGGUCUUCUACACGUGUUCCUUCAAUUACAUUGUUCGUAGAACUUUGAUUGAACACCACCGUGAACGAUGUUUCCAUAGUUUGUAUAGGGCAGUUUUUUUUCGUCACAUAUGUUCUUUCCUUCUACAAACUAGUAUAAUAGACGAUGUCUAGACGUAGACAUCUAAUUCAGUUACAAGACCUCGUGAACUAAUACACUCCAUGGCACCAGAAAAGCCCCAGAAACUUAGAACCUCUUUACGGUACAACUGGUAACGCUCGAGAUACGAGUAGACGCGGGUCCACGUCGAUAUCGUACCACUUCAUUGUGAUGUACAUCUCUUAUUUCUUUCCUUCUUACUACCAUUCUUGGUGACUCUAUGGCUCAGGCCGGUCGGUCUUCUCACAGUCCUCUCACAAAGAAGUAACCUUCUCCACUGUUUUUAACAGGAAAUCUCAUAUAAUCAACAAAUCGGUAGUGACUCUAUCUGAUUGUGUAUUUAAAACAAAACAAAACAUGACGUGGGAAUAUUAAACCGAAACGACUUAUGUGAUAUAAAUGAAGUAAAGAGAAAACUCAAUCGUUAUUACUAGUCAAUUGUUACAAAAUCGACUACUAAGUCCUGUUAUAGCCGGCCAAGUAACUCGUCUCACAACCCUUCGAGUGCUUUUGUGGGAAAGGUUUGUCUUAAAGAAAAAGUAGUAACACUUCCAACUAAAAUGGAUAAAGUGAAUCUACCACUGGAGGGACGUGAGGGUAAAAAACGAAUCCUAAGAGAAAAUUUACCACUCGCGAGUCUAAGACUUGUAACCGAGCAAUCAUGACAAAAUAAUAAAAUUCUUUAAAUUCUUUUAUACUGGUUACACUAAAACAAGAGAUUUCUGACCUUAACUUAUCAUCCAGGAAAACCAUGACAGGAUAAUGCUACACACCGAUUCUUUACGUAGUCAAGCUGAUCCGUAAUAGUACAUAACAUGGCAUCAUAGUAAAAACGUAUCUGAUUUAUGGAUGAAAACGACUUCCAAUGAAAAGAAAUAUUUUAAACCAAGUCCUACGGCAAAACGGACAACAUCAUGAAAGUCGUAUCUACGUCAUCACGAGACGAGGGGGUUUCUAGACAUCGAGCACCUACGCCACCUACACCGUGUACCUCGUCUACUUUACCCUUAUUCUCCUAGGGGACGUGCACGUGUUUAAGAACGAUGGACUACCGACUGCCGCUCCUAUGGAGACUGGACAGAGCUCUUCCAAGCUCGGCGUCCUGCUACACAUGUCGCGUGGUGGUUAAGGAGGUUGUCGUGUCGACAACAUGGCCAUCGUCGCUGUUGUUGAGAGGUGUGUUCGCAGCGAUCGACGAGGGCAGCUACGUGGACUACGGCAUCCAACCUACCUCGCAGUUCCACGAACUAAGAAAACCAGAAUAUCACUGACGGCUCUAUAAGCACACAUUACUACUUCGUGCACCCCCACAUCUACUCCUACUUUACUCGGUCCCUCUUUAUAACGACCAUUUUUUUUCGGAGGGUCCGACAGGAGCGGUUUUAAAUGAGGAGGCAGUAGGCUAAACCAAUUUGUAAGGAAAUAACUGGGGACCGACGCAGUUGACCACCUGCGGCGGCCGACGGGUUACUGGUAGUUGUGUAUACUCGAACGAAAUUGGCCUCUAUGAUCACCUAGUUUCCGAAGCAGCCGAGUUUAUUUGGUAGUAGUUCCACCAUGACUAUAAGGAGUUCAACGACGACUCUUAUACUUUGUUGUUUGAGAAAAACUGUUUGAUGGCCUACUGUAGAAUGUAGCAUAUGUAAGAGAGAAUGGUUAUGUUCUACGACGAACACGACGGACACACAGAGUACGUAAAGACGCAAGUACCUCUACGAUAAGGUUUGAGUAUGAGUUGUGACACGCGAACCCAACUUAGUGUAUCUUAAACUCCUUUCUUUUUAGAUAGAGUAACUGUUUCAACUGUUUUAAGAAUUUUUGGUAGUACUGUUUCCCCACUUCCACCUCUGUGAAUCGGAAUAAGAAUGGGGAACGUGGUUAUAGUUUCGGAGGAUGGACCUGUCCACCGAGGCUUCUUGGCAAUUCAGACCCAAAUUUUUAGAAAUGAACCUCUACGGAAAUAGGUACUUCUUUUAAAUGUUUAAGGGCACAAGUCAAAACAGACUACUCCCUCGACGUUCAAGUUAAGUCAAAGAAUUGUAGCCGAGAACGUGAAAAGUAGGGUGUAGUUGUGAACCGAGGAACGUUCCAACUUUUGACAUUCUAACAGAAAACAGGUGUGAUGGCUCCUUCCUAACCUCGUGAACAAAAGUUUUAGAAGAUGGAUUCUCCUCGAGUCUUAUAAGCGUACGGUACCCUAUUAAACGAACUUUCAUGGAACAUGCUACGCUGUAGAGUUCUAUGAACUACAAGUUGAAACGUCGUACGACGCCCAACAUCUCUAACUACGAGGUUUGGAGACGAUAAAAUUGAUACUGUCGCGAAACGGUCUUAAGAUGCACUCUUUAACAAGAGUUGAAUUCGUACAUGUCAAUAGUAGACGUGCGAGCAGACCACAAGAAAAAAUACGAGCGUGAUAAGAAGGCAGGUAGCGUGCCUUACAACUCAGAAUAAAACCAACCAGCAUCGCUCUUACGGUUGUGAGGCAACGAUGUUAGGUUCGAUGGGGUGGAGUUCUUGAACCUUUAAUCUGAGUCUCGUCAGGUGGGGUUUCCGAGGGGAGGUUCGAUACUGAAGAAAAGAAACCAAAGAAAAGAACUACGAAGAGGACGGAACCUCAGAAAGUGGGAUGUGCAUUUACUCAUACAGUACUUUGUGAUAGGACAACAACCUCUAUUAAUGCUUACGGGCUUCGUCUUCGACCUGAACAGCGUAUUGGCGGAGUCUGUGUACUGCUAGUGCCCUAAGACAAGUCGGUUCUCGGACCAACUCGAGUGCCAAGUGUAGGAACUCUCGUGUGUGAGCGAACUCGCGAACUGCGACCUGUGUUGGAUACUGAUGUUAUCCACAUAAGUUCCCGGACCAUGGUAACCGUUUACGUGAUGGAGUUCAUCCUAACGGUUUACGACCGGCUACUCGUUCUCUCCACAACUGCUUCGAGUAUCUCGACACUUCUGACAACCAUCUAUGUAUCGACCCUCUCAAGGUAACCGACAAGUUAAACUCGAGUACCCCGGGACAUCAGCUACGGUAUGGCCGUCGGCCAUCUAGAUACAGUCCCACCAAAUAGAACAGAUUCUCGUAGAGAUUAUCUACCAGGUUUUAAACCGCCAGGUUUUGGCCUCUACAUUUUAAACCUGGCGGUUUUUUACGCAAAACCUCGAGACUUUUUUCGAGUUGAGGUUGUUUACCAGGUUUAACUACCAAGUUUUCUC
rnacentral:rRNA from 1 species